CCUGAUCAUAGACAUAGAAAACAGACGCCGCAUUCUGUGCUGAGCGGCGAGAAAUGCGGCAGCCAUCUUGAACCGGUUGCCGCUCUACUGAAGCUAUUGAAGAACCCUUACAAAGUCCAUCUCACAAAAGGUAAGUGAAGGACUUGGGGCACUUAAUACCCCUACCCCAUGUCAUUACUACCCCUACAGUGUUAAUACCCUACCCCAUGU